rfam:Volvox carteri f. nagariensis unplaced genomic scaffold VOLCAscaffold_20, whole genome shotgun sequence.
GGAGGCGUGGCGCAAUGGAUAGCGCACCAGGCUUCUAAUCUGGGGGUUGUGGGUUCGAGUCCCAUCGUCUUCG